rnacentral:lncRNA from 1 species
UAGCAAAAUCCGUGUUUUCAUUUUACGAGGAAAUAGCAAGUCCCGCGUUUUCCGGUUACGAGGUCUUGACAACGAUUUCUGCUUACGUGGAAUUAACGAGUCCCGCGUUCUUUAGUUUUUAAUUUCGUCGUUAUUUUCUCGUUAUUUUACGAGGAUUAUGUUUAAAUCCAUAAAAUCCGAAACCCCAAACCUCAUCUUCCUUGUCUUCUACUUCAUAUAUUUCAAACGCCAAACCCAUCUUCCCUUUAACCUCAAUCUAUUCUUUCCAUUCCAAACCCCAAAUUCUAAAACCACAAUUGCUUAACUUAUAAUCUCAAUCUCUUAUUUUUAAUACAAAC